GUUUUUAUUCCAGAAAAAAUGACUAGGCCUAGCGAAUGCCUACAUACAGUAACCUAUGCUUGUCUAUGUGUAUAAUCUUUGAGACUACAAUAUAAUUCCGAUGUCCAUGGCCUCCACCUAUCCAACCCUUUCCACAUCAUCAGACGAAGGAGGGGCAUAUGUUAUGUCACCAAUUAGUUUGUGACGGGGCAAAAAAAUGACGGUAUAUAGGCCUAUAUCAAACACAAUACAUUUUGCUCUACAGUUUGUAGUUAAUUAUCGCAGUCAUUUAUUGUUUUUCUUUUUAGGAGUGGUUGGUAGGCUAUAGAAUUGUGCAGCUCAUGCUCUAUCCACGACAAUUGUCCCGUUAUCUUAUGAUGCCUGGGCGCUCGAACUGGAGCCCUUGGGUGAGGCUUCCAAAAUUGUACAGAUUGAAUUUCGAACGUUUAAGUCAUUCACCAUAAAGAUGAGAUGCUGGUGUUGCUGGACUCCUUAAUGGAAAAGAAAGACCACGAAGAUGACCUUACAUACCAGUAAGGAGGAAGGAUCUUGGUUUGUGUUUAGCCCUCUCCCUUUCCAGAUUCUUUAGGCUGGACCAGAUGCAGACGAGGGCCAUUCCUUUGCCAUGCUGGUGCUACAGGGGACUGUCUGUGAUGUCUCAAUCGGUGGUGUCUGGCUCCACCGUGGGAAGCAGAUGACUUUGAGCUGUAGGACCAGUGGCUGGAGGAUGUGCAAGCAAGUGAUGGCAGAUGGAAGGACCAUCAAAGCAAGGGAUUGAAAAGGCAUUGCGGAGGACCAGAGGAUCAAAGCCCUGGUCUAUUGACCAAUCCUUUCUAACACGAUGUCGAGUACAAAUCUAUUAUUGAGAUGAGUAGCUCAGCCAAUAAAAGUAAAAUCACUAUUAACAAUUCGUCCUGUUCAUAGCAGUGAAAAUGUUUACAUUAUUUGUUAUAAACAGAUUGUUUUUGAUUCAAUUCUGUCACAUACAGUAUUAGUCAUGUUUAUGGAAAUGCAAAAAGGUUAGUGCAAUCAGGACUAUGUGUGACCUGUGGAUUUGCUGCCAAGUUUAUACUACACUUAUGUGGGAAAUAAAGUACUGUUUUGAUCCUGAACUUCUGUUCCUUAUCUCCUCGUGCUUUUGAAUGGCAUCAUACAAUUAGGAUACCUCCUUUUAACCACUUCAAGUGUUAUUGGAUCGGCUGUUGGCAGUUAUGAAUGGUCAGCAGCAACACUUAGAUUUCAUCAUGUUCAGCGGAUAUUCUCAUGCUUCCCAAGUGACAGCAAAUCAGGUAAGCGGCGGAGUGGAUUCAAACUCUGAAUUUUGAUAUCACCAGGUGAAAGUUGCGUUGGUCUAUAGCUAAUCAAGUGUGGAUUUUUCUUUAAAUAUCUUCAAUAGCCUUGUAUUACUUAUAAUGUGUUCAUUUUAGGGUAUAACAUUUUUUAUUGCAGAAUAUUGAUAUGAUUAUUAGAAAUGUUAAUAUACUGUAGUUGCCCAACAAUAUCUCCAAUUGUAUGUCAGGAUGUUAUGUUUGGAUGAUCAGCAUCCUGAGUAUAUUAUGUAAUUUAUAUGUUCCUGUGGGAAAUGGCUCACAUGAUUGAACUAUUCACAGCUCAUUAGAAAUAAAAGUACUGAGGGGUUUCCAUCUGGUUGUUAAUGUUUUGAGUUGGUGUCUUUGAAUGGGGAGCUAAUUUGGUUGCUUUCCUGGACCUCUGCUGGAGCUCUUUCUCUCUGCCAGGGCAUCUUCAGUCCUCUCAGCAAGGAUCUAUGAAUCAAGUUUCCACCAACUUAUAGUCAUUGAAUCAUUGGAAUCACGUGUGAUGAAUGUGCUUUUGUGCUUGUGUUUAAAUGUCAAGCUCAGACUCAAAGUCUGAACCAGGGUUCCCCAACUGGCGGC
rnacentral:lncRNA from 1 species